rnacentral:rRNA from 1 species
AGUGAACGCUGGCGGUAGGCCUAACACAUGCAAGUCGAACGGCAGCACAGUAAGAGCUUGCUCUUACGGGUGGCGAGUGGCGGACGGGUGAGGAAUACAUCGGAAUCUACUUUUUCGUGGGGGAUAACGUAGGGAAACUUACGCUAAUACCGCAUACGACCUACGGGUGAAAGCAGGGGAUCUUCGGACCCUGCGCGAUUGAAUGAGCCGAUGUCGGAUUAGCUAGUUGGCGGGGUAAAGGCCCACCAAGGCGACGAUCCGUAGCUGGUCUGAGAGGAUGAGCAGCGACAGUGGAAAGGAGACACGAUGCAGAGUAAGACGGGAGGAACCAGGAGGGAAUAGUGAGCAAUGGGCGAAAGCAUGACGGAGCAAAGCCGAGGGAGUAAGGAAGGUAUUCGGAUCGUAAAACUCUGUUAUUAGGGAAGAACAUAUGUGUAAGGAACUGUGCACAGCUGGACGGUACCUAAUAAGAAGGACACGGCUAACUACGUG